UACGUAGGGUGCAAGCGUUAAUCGGAAUUACUGGGCGUAAAGCGUGCGCAGGCGGUUAUGUAAGACAGAUGUGAAAUGCCCGGGCUUAACCUGGGAACUGCAUUUGUGACUGCAUGGCUAGAGUUUGGCAGAGGGGGGUAGAAUUCCACGUGUAGCAGUGAAAUGCGUAGAUAUGUGGAGGAACACCGAUGGCGAAGGCAGCCCCCUGGGUCAAGACUGACGCUCAUGCACGAAAGCGUGGGGACAAACAGG
rnacentral:rRNA from 1 species